GAGAGCCGUGUGCGGGAAAACCGCACGCACGGUUCGGAGGGAGGGGACGGUGAUCGCCGUUUCCUACCCCUAU
rnacentral:ncRNA from 1 species